UACCAGACUCCUACGGGAGGCAGCAGUGGGGAAUAUUGCACAAUGGGGGAAACCCUGAUGCAGCGACGCCGCGUGAGCGAUGAAGUAUUUCGGUAUGUAAAGCUCUCUCAGCAGGGAAGAAGAUGACGGUACCUGACUAAGAAGCCCCGGCUAACUACGUGCCAGCAGCCGCGGUAAUACGUAGGGGGCAAGCGUUAUCCGGAUUUACUGGGUGUAAAGGGAGCGUAGACGGCGGUGCAAGCCAGAUGUGAAAGCCCGGGGCCCAACCCCCGGACUGCUCUGGAAACUGUGUAACUGGAGUGCAGGAGAGGCAGGCGGAAUUCCUAGUGUAGCGGUGAAAUGCGUAGAUAUUAGGAGGAACACCAGUGGCGAAGGCGGCCUGCUGGACUGUAACUGACGUUGAGGCUCGAAAGCGUGGGGAGCAAACAGGAUUAGAUACCCCCGUAGA
rnacentral:rRNA from 1 species